AGCAGCCGCGGUAAUUCCAGCUCCAAUAGCGUAUAUUAAAGUUGUUGCAGUUAAAAAGCUCGUAGUUGAAUUUCGGGAUCAAUAUGCCGGUCAUGCCUUGGUAUGCACUGGUAUCUUUGAUUUCUCCCUUCUGACGAACUUUGAUGUCAUUAAUUUGGUGUCAUAGGGAAUCAGGACUGUUACUUUGAAAAAAUUGAGUGUUUAAAGCAAGCUCACGCUUGAAUGCAUUAGCAUGGAAUAAUGAAAUAGGACGUUUGAUUCUAUUUUGUUGGUUUCUAGGAUCGACGUAAUGAUUAAUAGGGAUAGUUGGGGGCAUUAGUAUUCAAUUGUCAGAGGUGAAAUUCUUGGAUUUUAUUGAAGACUAACUACUGCGAAAGCAUUUGCCAAGGAUGUUUUCAUUAAUCAAGAACGAAAGUUAGGGAUCGAAGACGAUCAGAUACCGUCGUAGUCUUAACCAUAAAUUAUGCCGACUAGGGAUCGGAUGAUGUUAAUUUUUANGUAC
rnacentral:rRNA from 1 species